rnacentral:rRNA from 1 species
CCUACGGGCGGCAGCAGUGGGGAAUAGUGCACAAUGGGGGAAACCCUGAUGCAGCGACGCCGCGUGAGUGAAGAAGGAUUUCGGGAUGGAAAGCUCUAUCAGCAGGGAAGAGAAUGACGGUACCUGAGUAAGAAGCCCCGGCUAACGACGUGCCAGCAGCCGCGGGAAUACGUAGGGGGCAAGAGUUAUCCGGAGUUACUGGGUGUAAAGGGAGCGUAGACGGCGAAGCAAGUCUGAAGUGAAAGCCCGCGGCUCAACCGCGGAACUGCUUUUGAAACUUUUUUGCUGGAGUACCGGAGCGUUCAGCGGCAUUCCUCUUGUAGCGGUGACAUGCGUAGUUAUUAGG